rnacentral:rRNA from 1 species
GACGAACGCUGGCGGCGUGCCUGACACAUGCAAGUCGGACGGUUCUUGCACCUUCAAGCUUGCUUGCUGGUGCAAGGAUAGUGGCGGACGGGUGAGUAACGCGUGAACAUCUACCCAUUGGAGGGGGACAACCCGUCGAAAGGCGGGCUAAUACCGCGUAAGCCGCGAGGUGAGAGGCUGCCUAUUGGUGGCCGCCGAUGGAUGGGUUCGCGUCCUAUCAGCUGGUUGGUGGGGUAACGGCCUACCAAGGCGAAGACGGGUAGCCGGUCUGAGAGGAUGGCCGGCCACACUGGAACUGAGACACGGUCCAGACUCCUACGGGAGGCAGCAGUGGGGAAUAUUGGGCAAUGGGGGUAACCCUGACCCAGCGACGCCGCGUGAGGGACGAAGGUUUUCGGAUCGUAAACCUCUGUUGUACGGGAAGAAGGAAUUGACGGUACCGUACGAGAAAGCCCCGGCAAACUACGUGCCAGCAUCCGCGGUAAACUAGUCUACG